UAACAUAGACUUGUAGGUUUCUUUGCUCUGGUAAGCUUAUUUGUAGGUGUUUUCCUAUAAUCAAGCAAAACCAAACCAAUCAUUUGUUGAGACAAUUUCGUAGUUAAUUAUUGUCGUGCCAAUGUUAUUUUAAUUAUAAAGUCACUUGAUAAUGCAUCCAAAGUUCAGUAAGACAUAUCAUUCAUAAUUCUUAAUGUUAACAAUUGCCAUUUAUGAUGAUAAGUUCAAACAAAUAUAAUAUUUGAAUGAGUUUAAUUUGUAUACACCGCCAGUGUAGAAAAGUUAUACACAUGCAUCCAAUGACGUGAUGCCACAUCAUUUGAUGAGAUAAAAACACAUGACUUGUCAUACCUCAUUAAUUGAUUUGGCAAUACAUCAUUGGAUGCUUGCGUAGAACUCCUUUUACACCUUAUUGUAUGUAAAUUAAACUCUUUUAAAUAACGUCUCGUCUCAAAAAAUAAACCUUCACAAAAUUGCUGUUUUUUUACAGCAGCUCCAAACACCCCUGCCUGCAGUUUAUCUGAUACUUUGGUCCUUCUGUCUGAUUUUCAUCAUAACGUAUCAUCACCUGUGAUUAAUGUAUACAACCUGUAGUGACAUGGAUCUUAAUAUCCAGGACAAGCUAAAAAUCAUGAAGCAACUCUUGUGUGUUUUCCAUGCUAGUUUAUUUUGACUUGAUUGAUGAUGAUGAGACAGGUAAUGUGACAUUGGGUAGAUGAAUUACCAAUCUUAUAUGAACCUCUGCUUCCCUUGAUUCAGGUACUCUCUGACAUAAUUCAAAAUGAUGUUGAGCCUGCCAAGAAGAAACUAUAUGAGCUAAAGCUCUCAUUACUUGAUGAGAUUGGAUGGAAAUAUUUAGCUACAUACGAAAGACAGUGGAUGCUUGUGCGUUUCCCUCCAACCUUGCCCCUUUUCUAGAGUAUUGCUGCCUAUUGGAAUGAAGUUUAGAUAUAGCAAUGUUGGGAAU
rnacentral:lncRNA from 1 species